UGGGGAAUAUUGCACAAUGGGGGGAAACCCGUGAUGCAGCGACGCCGCGUGAGCGAUGAAGUAUUUCGGUAUGUAAAGCUCUAUCAGCAGGGAAGAAAAUGACGGUACCUGACUAAGAAGCCCCGGCUAACUACGUGCC
rnacentral:rRNA from 1 species